CCCGGCGAGGGGAGUGAAAAAGAACCUGAAACCGUGUACGUACAAGCAGUGGGAGCCUCUUUAUGGGGUGACUGCGUACCUUUUGUAUAAUGGGUCAGCGACUUAUAUUCUGUAGCAAGGUUAACCGAAUAGGGGAGCCGAAGGGAAACCGAGUCUUAACUGGGCGUUAAGUUGCAGGGUAUAGACCCGAAACCCGGUGAUCUAGCCAUGGGCAGGUUGAAGGUUGGGUAACACUAACUGGAGGACCGAACCGACUAAUGUUGAAAAAUUAGCGGAUGACUUGUGGCUGGGGGUGAAAGGCCAAUCAAACCGGGAGAUAGCUGGUUCUCCCCGAAAGCUAUUUAGGUAGCGCCUCGUGAAUUCAUCUUCGGGGGUAGAGCACUGUUUCGGCUAGGGGGUCAUCCCGACUUACCAACCCGAUGCAAACUGCGAAUACCGAAGAAUGUUAUCACGGGAGACACACGGCGGGUGCUAACGUCCGUCGUGAAGAGGGAAACAACCCAGACCGCCAGCUAAGGUCCCAAAGUCAUGGUUAAGUGGGAAACGAUGUGGGAAGGCACAGACAGCCAGGAUGUUGGCUUAGAAGCAGCCAUCAUUUAAAGAAAGCGUAAUAGCUCACUGGUCGAGUCGGCCUGCGCGGAAGAUGUAACGGGGCUAAACCAUGCACCGAAGCUGCGGCAGCGACACUAUGUGUUGUUGGGUAGGGGAGCGUUCUGUAAGCCGUUGAAGGUGGCCUGUGAGGGUUGCUGGAGGUAUCAGAAGUGCGAAUGCUGACAUAAGUAACGAUAAUGCGGGUGAAAAACCCGCACGCCGGAAGACCAAGGGUUCCUGUCCAACGUUAAUCGGGGCAGGGUGAGUCGACCCCUAAGGCGAGGCCGAAAGGCGUAGUCGAUGGGAAACAGGUUAAUAUUCCUGUACUUGGUGUUACUGCGAAGGGGGGACGGAGAAGGCUAUGUUAGCCGGGCGACGGUUGUCCCGGUUUAAGCAUGUAGGCGGAGAUUCCAGGUAAAUCCGGAGUCUUGUUAACGCUGAGGUGUGAUGACGAGGCACUACGGUGCUGAAGUAACAAAUGCCCUGCUUCCAGGAAAAGCCUCUAAGCAUCAGGUAACACAAAAUCGUACCCCAAACCGACACAGGUGGUCAGGUAGAGAAUACCAAGGCGCUUGAGAGAACUCGGGUGAAGGAACUAGGCAAAAUGGUGCCGUAACUUCGGGAGAAGGCACGCUGAUAUGUAGGUGAAGUGAUUUACUCAUGGAGCUGAAAUCAGUCGAAGAUACCAGCUGGCUGCAACUGUUUAUUAAAAACACAGCACUGUGCAAACACGAAAGUGGACGUAUACGGUGUGACGCCUGCCCGGUGCCGGAAGGUUAAUUGAUGGGGUUAUCCGUAAGGAGAAGCUC
rnacentral:rRNA from 1 species